ACGGAAGGCAGCAGUGGGGAAUAUUGGGCAAUGGGCGAAAGCCUGACCCAGCAACGCCGCGUGAAGGAAGAAGGCCUUCGGGUUGUAAACUUCUUUUAUGUGGGAAGAUAAUGACGGUACCACAUGAAUAAGCCACGGCUAACUACGUGCCAGCAGCCGCGGUAAUACGUAGGUGGCGAGCGUUGUCCGGAUUUACUGGGUGUAAAGGGCGCGUAGGCGGGAUGGCAAGUCAGAUGUGAAAUCCACGGGCUUAACUCGUGAACUGCAUUUGAAACUGUCGUUCUUGAGUAUCGGAGAGGCAAGCGGAAUUCCUAGUGUAGCGGUGAAAUGCGUAGAUAUUAGGAGGAACACCAGUGGCGAAGGCGGCUUGCUGGACGACAACUGACGCUGAGGCGCGAAAGCGUGGGGAGCAAACAGGAUUAGAUACCCUGGUA
rnacentral:rRNA from 1 species